UCACCCAAUGCUGUUCAGACUGGUCAAUGCUGUUCAGCCAAUGCUGUUCAGACUGGUCAAUGCUGUUCAGCCAAUGCUUGCAUAGAUCCAGUGACUGGGAAGGUCUUAGACAAUAAAAACCAGAAUCAGAGACCAAGUGGAAAGGCCCACCUGACAGAGGACUGCGAUGUCAGAGCUCUACUCAGGGAAUGGAACAAGCUGUAUGCUGGACAGGAUGGAACAUGGCAUUGCAAAAUUGCUCCUAGAUGUCAACUUGUCCUUCAUAUAGUAUGCUUACCACUCAUCUUCAAGGAGCUCCAUAAAAACAUGGGACACCUGGGCAAAGAGAGAACACUGAAUCUAACCAGAAACUGCUUCUGUUGUCCCAGGAUGCGGCCUCGAGACGUGGAGCACUUUGUCACAAACGUGUGUGAAUGUCUCGAGGAGUGGAAGCCAAGCAGACCAACACGUGCCCCUGUGACAAGC